GCUGGGCAUGGUGGCGCGUGCCUGUAGUCCCAGCUACUCAGGAGGCUGAGGCAGAAGAAUCACUUGAACCCAGGAGGCGGAGGCUGCAGUGAACCAAGAUCCUGGCCACUGCACUGUAGCCUGGGCGACAGAGUGAGACUGUGCCUCAA
ensembl:misc_RNA Metazoa_SRP Metazoan signal recognition particle RNA